UUCUUCAUUUCCUUUCCUCUCUUUUCUUCCUUCCCUCUCCGUCGAUCACCUCCUCCGAUUCUUACAGCGGAGGAGGAGAAUAAAAUUGAGAGUUGCGGGAGCCAAUCGAUCCACGAAGCGAGGUCAUGGUCUCCCUCUCGACGCCGUCCUUUACUAAUUAAGUGGAAGCAGAGGCUGAAGGUGCAAGUAUAAAGUUCUCGGUCGGCUUAAAGAAUCGGAAGAGGCAUAUCGUGAUGGCUUCGACUACGAGCUCUGAUUGCACUGCAGUUGCCUUCCUGUCGUGCUGGAUUUGGACUGUUGUAGUAUAGAAUGAGAAGUUGUAGUAUAGAAUGAGAAGAGCAAUUCUUUGUGACCUGUGGAUAGCAGUAUAGCCCCACUCAAAGCAAUUCUCUGCUGCAACGUAGAAGUAACCCCCAAUUUGAAUUUCCAGGUAACCACCAAAUCCUAAUUUGGAGAUUCUACUAAACAUAUUUAGAGUGCUAUGAUUAUUGUUUUGAUGUGCAGAACAAAUGGUAUGGUUAUGGCGUUUUGAUAUGUGUAAUCGUUGAAGGAAGGGAUGAUCUGUGUAAGAGAGUUGCUGUGUUGUUGUUUAUGUGAAUAUGUGUAUCCAAAUUGAAUACUAUAAUGUCCUUAUUAUGAUAAACAUUGUUGAGAUGAAAAUUUAUCAUCCAUAUGCGGAAGUUUUGGCUUUGAUUCAUGGAGGAAAGAUUUGCUAUCACAUCUGUAUAUUAACCAACGUGUAGCUGUGAACUUUAAGUGACUGAAUUGCAGUUAGAAUAUCAACACAGUAGUGGCUUCCAUAUGUAGAACAUGUAUUGGGUUUGAUGGGCAUACUUUGUAGGUUCCUUUGCUUUUCUUGAUAGUUUCUUCGUUUCCUAAUAGUUGAUGUCAUUAUGUAUGUGCAGAUUAAGCAAUGGUGAAGAGAAUUGUUGCUUGAGGGCAGUACUAGAGAGUAGAGACUAUAAGGUCUGGUCCAAGAUGGCGGAGUUUUACGGUUUGCUGAAGCCCUACAUGUGAGACGAGAGGGUUACGAGAGGGGACAUUGAUGUAUGAGCUUUACGGUCAAACAGAGGUCGAAUGUUCGAUCAAUGG
rnacentral:lncRNA from 1 species